ensembl:lncRNA
GCGCAAAAUAACUGCCCAUGAACUGAGAAAAGUCAAGCGUGCAGCUACCAAGAUGCCACUUGCCACCAGUUUGGCCAUAUUUCAGAGCUGCAACAUCACUGGAGUGCCCAAAAGCACAAGGUGUGCAAUACUCAGAGACAUGGCCAAGGUAAGAAAGGCUGAAAGACGACCACCACUGAACAAGACACACAAGCUGAAACGUCAAGACUGGGCCAAGAAAUAUCUCAAGACUGAUUUUUCUAAGGUUUUAUGGACUGAUGAAAUGAGAGUGAGUCUUGAUGGGCCAGAUGGAUGGGCCCGUGGCUGGAUUGGUAAAGGGCAGAGAGCUCCAGUCCCACUCAGACGCCAGC